GCGCCCUUGGCCUAAUGGAUUAAGGCAUCUGACUACGGAUCAGAGGAUUGGGGGUUCGACUCCCUCAGGGCGCACCA
rnacentral:tRNA from 1 species